GUUCUGAUAGCUCAGGGGUAGAGCAAUCGGCUGCAGUCCGAUAGGUCGGGCGUUCAAAUCGCCCUCAGAACU